CAAGUCGGAUCGAUUUGGUCGGCUCGGUGGCUAAACCUAUCGGCUUGACCUUAGAGUACUUUUAGCCGGUCGAGUAAGUCGGCUAAAAGUGCCCGGCUUAGAGGGAGCCUCGUUCAGGCCCGUAUACUCGGUCUCUCGCAUCAAGGCCCAAAGGGGCACGAAAUUAGGGCAUCUGGGGCAGGAGUCCUAUAAGAAGGGAAAAGGAAGCAACAAGAAAAGGACUUUUGGACCAUUGAACACACUAAACGGCUAGAUCUAGGGUUUUAGGCUAUCUCUUUGAUCUUGUUACUCUUCGAUCUUGUUGCUCUUGAAUCUUCUUGUCACUC
rnacentral:lncRNA from 1 species